AUUCUUUAAGUCCUUGACUAAAACCUCAGAUGACAUUUAAAGUUAUCUUUGGUAUUCAAAAGGACCAUAGGAAACCCCAUGUUUAACUAUUCCUCUUAAGGAUAUCGUCUCAAAGAUAUAAACCUUAAUAAAGUGAAAAUCAACAAUCUAAUUAA
rfam:Lucilia cuprina strain LS Scaffold472, whole genome shotgun sequence.